CUUUGCACACGCGGGAGCUCGGAGCACCGGGCUGAGAGGGCGCUGAUAUCCGUACGUCCGUACGGGAUGAGCUGCGCCGACCGCCGAACCUGUUACCGGGUAAUGCCGGCGUAGGGAGUAGGUCUCAUGACCAC
rnacentral:ncRNA from 1 species